GGGUUGUGAGGUUAAGCGACUAAGCGUACACGGUGGAUGCCUAGGCAGUCAGAGGCGAUGAAGGGCGUGCUAAUCUGCGAUAAGCGUCGGUAAGCUGAUAUGAAGCGUUAUACCCGACGAUACCCGAAUGGGGAAACCCAGUGUGUUUCGACACACUAUCAUUAUGUGAAUACAUAGCGUAAUGAGGCGAACCGGGGGAACUGAAACAUCUCAGUACCCCGAGGAAAAGAAAUCAACCGAGAUUCCCCUAGUAGCGGCGAGCGAACGGGGAGGAGCCCAGAACCUGAAUCAGUUUGUGUGUUAGUGGAAGCGUCUGGAAAGUCGCACAGUAAAGGGUGAUAGUCCCGUACACAAAAAUGCACAGAUUGUGAGUUCGAUGAGUAGGGCGGGACACGUGACAUCCUGUCUGAAUAUGGGGGGACCAUCCUCCAAGGCUAAAUACUCCUGACUGACCGAUAGUGAACCAGUACCGUGAGGGAAAGGCGAAAAGAACCCCGGCGAGGGGAGUGAAAUAGAACCUGAAACCGUGUACGUACAAGCAGUGGGAGCCUUGAUUAAUCAGGGUGACUGCGUACCUUUUGUAUAAUGGGUCAGCGACUUAUAUUCUGUAGCAAGGUUAACCGUAUAGGGGAGCCGUAGGGAAACCGAGUCUUAACUGGGCGUUAAGUUGCAGGGUAUAGACCCGAAACCCGGUGAUCUAGCCAUGGGCAGGUUGAAGGUUGGGUAACACUAACUGGAGGACCGAACCGACUAAUGUUGAAAAAUUAGCGGAUGACUUGUGGCUGGGGGUGAAAGGCCAAUCAAACCGGGAGAUAGCUGGUUCUCCCCGAAAGCUAUUUAGGUAGCGCCUCGUGAAUUCAUCUUCGGGGGUAGAGCACUGUUUCGGCUAGGGGGUCAUCCCGACUUACCAACCCGAUGCAAACUACGAAUACCGAAGAAUGUUAUCACGGGAGACACACGGCGGGUGCUAACGUUCGUCGUGAAGAGGGAAACAACCCAGACCGCCAGCUAAGGUCCCAAAGUCAUGGUUAAGUGGGAAACGAUGUGGGAAGGCACAGACAGCCAGGAUGUUGGCUUAGAAGCAGCCAUCAUUUAAAGAAAGCGUAAUAGCUCACUGGUCGAGUCGGCCUGCGCGGAAGAUGUAACGGGGCUAAACCAUGCACCGAAGCUGCGGCAGCGACACUCAGGUGUUGUUGGGUAGGGGAGCGUUCUGUAAGCCGUCGAAGGUGACCUGUGAGGGUUGCUGGAGGUAUCAGAAGUGCGAAUGCUGACAUAAGUAACGAUAAUGCGGGUGAAAAACCCGCACGCCGGAAGACCAAGGGUUCCUGUCCAACGUUAAUCGGGGCAGGGUGAGUCGACCCCUAAGGCGAGGCUGAAAAGCGUAGUCGAUGGGAAACAGGUUAAUAUUCCUGUACUCGGUGUUACUGCGAAGGGGGGACGGAGAAAGCUAGGUUAUCCGGGCGACGGUUGUCCCGGUUUAAGCGUGAAGGUGGAUGACUUUGGUAAAUCCGGGUCGUCAUUAACACUGAGGCGUGAUGACGAGUCACUACGGUGAUGAAGUAACCAAUGCUACGCUUCCAGGAAAAGCCUCUAAGCUCCAGGUAACAUCAAAUCGUACCCCAAACCGACACAGGUGGUCAGGUAGAGAAUACUCAGGCGCUUGAGAGAACUCGGGUGAAGGAACUAGGCAAAAUGGUGCCGUAACUUCGGGAGAAGGCACGCUGAUGGUAGGUGAAGUGACUUGCUCACGGANNNNNNNNNNNNNNNNNNNNNNNNNNNNNNNNNNNNNNNNNNNNNNNNNNNNNNNNNNNNNNNNNNNNNNNNNNNNNNNNNNNNNNNNNNNNNNAUGGAGCUGAAAUCAGUCGAAGAUACCAGCUGGCUGCAACUGUUUAAUAAAAACACAGCACUGUGCAAACACGAAAGUGGACGUAUACGGUGUGACGCCUGCCCGGUGCCGGAAGGUUAAUUGAUGGGGUCAGCCGCAAGGCGAAGCUCUUGAUCGAAGCCCCGGUAAACGGCGGCCGUAACUAUAACGGUCCUAAGGUAGCGAAAUUCCUUGUCGGGUAAGUUCCGACCUGCACGAAUGGCGUAAUGAUGGCCAGGCUGUCUCCACCCGAGACUCAGUGAAAUUGAACUCGCUGUGAAGAUGCAGUGUACCCGCGGCAAGACGGAAAGACCCCGUGAACCUUUACUAUAGCUUGACACUGAACCUUGAGCCUUGAUGUGUAGGAUAGGUGGGAGGCUUUGAAGCGUGGACGCCAGUCUGCGUGGAGCCAACCUUGAAAUACCACCCUUUAAUGUUUGAUGUUCUAACGUGGGCCCGUAAUCCGGGUUGCGGACAGUGUCUGGUGGGUAGUUUGACUGGGGCGGUCUCCUCCCAAAGCGUAACGGAGGAGCACGAAGGUUAGCUAAUCCUGGUCGGACAUCAGGAGGUUAGUGCAAAGGCAUAAGCUAGCUUGACUGCGAGAGUGACAGCUCGAGCAGGUGCGAAAGCAGGUCUUAGUGAUCCGGUGGUUCUGAAUGGAAGGGCCAUCGCUCAACGGAUAAAAGGUACUCCGGGGAUAACAGGCUGAUACCGCCCAAGAGUUCAUAUCGACGGCGGUGUUUGGCACCUCGAUGUCGGCUCAUCACAUCCUGGGGCUGAAGUAGGUCCCAAGGGUAUGGCUGUUCGCCAUUUAAAGUGGUACGCGAGCUGGGUUUAGAACGUCGUGAGACAGUUCGGUCCCUAUCUGCCGUGGGCGUUGGAAGAUUGAGAGGGGUUGCUCCUAGUACGAGAGGACCGGAGUGAACGCACCACUGGUGUUCGGGUUGUGAUGCCAAUUGCAUUGCCCGGUAGCUAAGUGCGGAAGAGAUAACCGCUGAAAGCAUCUAAGCGGGAAACUUGCCUCGAGAUGAGUCUUCCCUGGGCACUAGAUGCCCCUGAAGGGCCGUUGAAGACUACGACGUAGAUAGGCUGGGUGUGUAAGCGUAGCGAUACGUUGAGCUAACCAGUACUAAUGACCCGAGAGGCUUAACCUUACAACACCGAAGGUGUUU
rnacentral:rRNA from 1 species